CGGGUCGCCUUGUCAGGAAGUUCAAGUAGUCACUGGAGCGCUUCCUACCUCUCUUCCUCCUUAAGAGCCAAAUAAAUAAGGAGACUUGUGUCCAGCUGUCCUUCUGUACUGCUCAGUGGGGGUGAGAUCCAGAAUGUGUUGAUACUUGUGUCAUGCUGUGUGAGAAUAAAUGUCAGCACUGCAGCACAGCUACCACCCACCUAGUCCACCAGCCAUCUCCACUCAACUGGUGGAUGAUCUCCUGUUGACAGGCCAUGGAUUAUUAUCAUGGUUUCAGGGCUAAUAGGAAUGCUACUGCGCUUCACAACAGAUGUCUUUUCAAAUCCUGACAAUACCUCCCACAGAGAUGAGGAGAAAACGCUAUCACUGUACUCAGCUGACCCACUGUGUAGAUGUAAAUGAUAGAUAAUGUCCAACAGUGACAACAAAGACUAAUACAUGCCUGCAGACACACAUAGACGUUUUUUACACAGGUCGGUGUUCACAUGCACAGACCUUAUUUUCAGGGGACCAAGAAAGGAUUUCCAACAAAAGAUUUUCAUUUAAAUAUCCAACCAGUAUAAUGCUAAUCUAAUGCCAGCAAAUGUAAUCAGUCAUCUUAGAUACAUUACUAUCUAUUACUAUUUUUUUAUAGUUUGGCUAUAAUUUGAGACCUACAAUACCAUUCUUCAGGUUUAAAAUUAGAUGAAGGCUAAAAGGCUUGGCGUUAGCCCCUUUGACUGAAAAUCAUGACGGGUAGAGUGCACUGUAACACUAGUGUGAGGUGACUUCUGUGAACAUUAGUUGUAUGCACACGAUCUGAAAGCGGCAGGAAAGCAGUACUUACAGUAACCUACAACUCAUGGGCUGUCCCAGUUCCAUGUCGAGGAGUGUGCAGUGUAAUUGAAACACGUUCCAGUCUUGAACAAUUGUCAUGUGUCAUUUCUGUCUUUCACAUGUAUGCAGACUUGAUGAUCUGACUGAUCUGAAACAACUGGGUGAGAAGCUAGUAACCCUGCUGUGGUAAUCAGUUAUAAUGAGCAUAAACAGAGACAAAAACAUUAUUGCUUUGGAAUAACGAUUUCUAUGUCACAAUAACAUGUUUGACAACAAUUAGAUUUUUCUGUUGGAUUUCUCCAUAAAUAAGUAUGCAUAUACAUAUGCAAUAUAUCGACAGCCACAUAUACUAUAUUUAUUAUGUGCAAUGUGCCUAUUAAAUGAAUCAUUGCAUAUACUACAAAACACAUAUUCAUGUUUAAAACACAAUUUGUAUUGUUUGUUAAUCAGAACCACCGUCCUGCCCUGAGAACUCAAACCACAGUGGUUAACACUUGAUUUCACCAUACUGUAAAAAGAGAAACAUCCUUUCUGGGCAUUUGGUCUCAAAUGAAGUGUUUCCUUUUUCCCACACUCGCUUUCAGUUCUAUCAACCCUGUUUAUCAGCUAAUGGAUUUCUAAUACUCAUAUAAACAUUCUGGUAUUCCUUUAAACUAACAUUUAAUAACAGAUACUGCAGAUACUCUGCACUUUAAAACUGUCCACCCAAAGACGUCUACGUCUCUAAUUAUUGCUCUUAAAACACUUGCUUCUCUACCAGCUCCACUUUUCUCAAAUAAAUGUGUGUCACCUGAAAACUUUAUGUCCUCAGUUUCCUACUGAAGACCAGAUCGACUGA